CCAUUUUUUAAAUGAAAAACAGAAAACAUGAAGUAUUUGAAAUUUAUUUUAUAUAUGGAUGUGCAUCUACAAAUUGGAGAUCCCACCAAUUGAUUUUAAAUUUAAAAAAAUGAUAUUGAUUUUCGUAAAACAAAGGAAAACAAAAAAUAGUGGUGCCAAGUAGGUAAAAGCAAGAAAAAAAUUUGGCGAAAUUGUAUGUGGUACCUGCUAACUAAUUUAUAAAAAAAAAAAAAAAUCGAUCGGUAGUUGAAUAUCAAAAAGAGAGCCUCAAAAAAUCUUAAAUCUGAUUAUGUGUUGAUGUUAUUCCAACAGGACUAUAUAUGUUUACUUAUUCAUUGUCGAUAUAUUUUGUAAAUAUAUUUACAAGAGAGUACGUUAAAAUGAGUGCGCGGGUAAAUUAAAUAUUGACCGAUGACACAAAAAAAUUGUAAUUGAACAUUAAUCAAGAUAAAAAAGAAAAAGGGAAAGAAUAUCUAUUAUUCCGUGUGCUUCAAACCACAAGCAAAAACAAAAAAUUGUUUUUUUAUUAAUACAAUGACACAAAAUCUCGAUUAUUGAAAGUGUGAGAGCCGAGAAAUAUUGAAAUGUUUUUGUAUUUGUAUUUGUAAAUUGUACAACCAUCCAUCUGUGCCAACUCGUUCAAUUUGUUAGCAAAUAAACGAAAUAAUAAUAGCAGUAACCAAAUGAAAUUAAGAAAAUUAUUUGCAGGUAUGAAAGUAAAACUUUUGUCAAUGUCGAGUAUCAAAGGGAAGCAAAACCAAACAGCAAAAAAACAAAUAUAGUUGAGAAUAACUCAAACGAAAACAAAAACGUAAAAAGCCGAAACCAGCUGAGUUUUCUUUAUUAUAAAACUUCUUCUUUUGCUGUUAUUCAGCAAAUUAAUAACCAAAAAUUCGCUGCGAUGUGUAAAAAAGCGUCGCAUUAGCGUAAUAAGUUAAUUAAAAAUUUUGCGUUCAUCAUCAAUUAAUCAAGAAGCCUUACUCGAUAUAUACCGUAAAUCGCUACGGGGACUAACACAAUAAUGCGCUAUUUCGUUUUUCGGGUAGACUAGUCUCAAACGGUUAACAUAAUGAGAAGCACUUUUAUCAUACUCUUUGAUAAGUAAAUCGAACACAAAAUCAUAUGUUUUCAGAGCUCGAUGACGGUUGGCAACGUUGCUUCCGAAAUGAGGAAAACAAUAUCUAACGGAUAAUUAUGUAAGCAGACGAAAGCGAGUUAAGUCAUGAUCGCCAAGACAAUCUAAUCAUGUUGGCAAAUUUUCUGGCGACUUUCGACAAAUGCGCACUCUCGCUUAUGUCAAAUCUGGCGGUAAUAAAAUUGAACAAAUUUACAUUGGUAUUGAGUAUAAACCAAGUAAAGUUCCCAUAAAUCUCCCUUUUAGAGUUUCGUUUGCAAAAAAGUAGCUGCAAAAGGAAAAUAUAAACCACGUUUAGAAAAUGAAACUGAAAUGAAUUCAAAAAUUUAA